UACAGAGGUCUCAAGCGUUGUUCGGAUUUACUGGGCGUAAAGCGCACGUAGGCGGGUUGUUAAGUCAGGGGUGAAAUCCUGGAGCUCAACUCCAGAACUGCCUUUGAUACUGGCAACCUAGAGGCUGGAAGAGGUUAGUGGAAUUCCCAGUGUAGAGGUGAAAUUCGUAGAUAUUGGGAAGAACACCAGUGGCGAAGGCGGCUAACUGGUCCAGAUCUGACGCUGAGGUGCGAAAGCGUGGGGAGCAAACAGG
rnacentral:rRNA from 1 species